AGUGCACGCUGGCGGCGUGCCUAAUACAUGCAAGUCGAACGAAGUGGCGCACGGGUGAGUAAUAUAUAGUUAAUCUGCCCUACACAGAGGAACAACAGUUGGAAACGGCUGCUAAUACCUCAUAGUGUAGGAUGAGACUAUAUCGUAUCAGCUAGUUGGUAAGGUAAUGGCUUACCAAGGCUAUGACGCGUAACUGGUCUGAGAUGAUGAUCAGUUACAUUGGAACUGAGACACGGGCCAAAAACCUACGGCAGGGAGCAGUAAGGGAUAUUGCGCAAUGGGGGAAACCCUGACGCAGCAACGCCGGGUGGAGGAUGACACUUGUCGGAGCAUAAACUCCUUUUAUCAGGAAAGCGGUACCUGAUGAAUAAGCACCGGCUAACUCCGUGCCAGCAGCCGCGGUAAUUA
rnacentral:rRNA from 1 species